rnacentral:rRNA from 1 species
UACGUAGGGUGCAAGCGUUAAUCGGAAUUACUGGGCGUAAAGCGUGCGCAGGCGGCUUUGCAAGACAGAUGUGAAAUCCCCGGGCUUAACCUGGGAACUGCAUUUGUGACUGCAUAGCUAGAGUACGGUAGAGGGGGAUGGAAUUCCGCGUGUAGCAGUGAAAUGCGUAGGAUAAUGCGGAGGAACACCGAUGGCGAAGGCAAUCCCCUGGACCUGUACUGACGCUCAUGCACGAAAGCGUGGG